rnacentral:rRNA from 1 species
AUGGCUCAGAUUGAACGCUAGCGGGAUGCCUUACACAUGCAAGUCGAACGGCAGCACGGACUUCGGUCUGGUGGCGAGUGGCGAACGGGUGAGUAAUGUAUCGGAACGUGCCUAGUAGCGGGGGAUAACUACGCGAAAGCGUAGCUAAUACCGCAUACGCCCUACGGGGGAAAGCAGGGGAUCGCAAGACCUUGCACUAUUAGAGCGGCCGAUAUCGGAUUAGCUAGUUGGUGGGGUAACGGCUCACCAAGGCGACGAUCCGUAGCUGGUUUGAGAGGACGACCAGCCACACUGGGACUGAGACACGGCCCAGACUCCUACGGGAGGCAGCAGUGGGGAAUUUUGGACAAUGGGGGAAACCCUGAUCCAGCCAUCCCGCGUGUGCGAUGAAGGCCUUCGGGUUGUAAAGCACUUUUGGCAGGAAAGAAACGUCAUGGGUUAAUACCCCGUGAAACUGACGGUACCUGCAGAAUAAGCACCGGCUAACUACGUGCCAGCAGCCGCGGUAAUACGUAGGGUGCAAGCGUUAAUCGGAAUUACUGGGCGUAAAGCGUGCGCAGGCGGUUCGGAAAGAAAGAUGUGAAAUCCCAGAGCUUAACUUUGGAACUGCAUUUUUAACUACCGAGCUAGAGUGUGUCAGAGGGAGGUGGAAUUCCGCGUGUAGCAGUGAAAUGCGUAGAUAUGCGGAGGAACACCGAUGGCGAAGGCAGCCUCCUGGGAUAACCACUGACG